CCAAGGAGUCUAACAUGUGCGCGAGUCAAUGGGAAUCUCUCGAGACCCACAGGCACAAUGAAAGUGAAGGUGGCGACUAGUUCCCACCGAGGCGGGAUCCGAUCCGGCAGGGUGGCUYGYGCUGCCCURGCCGGCGGCGCACCGUCGGCCCGUCGCAAACGCAACGUCGUUGCGGCGGAGCAAGAGCGUACACGUUGGGACCCGAAAGAUGGUGAUCUAUGCCYGGGCAGGAYGAAGCCAGAGGAAACUCUGGUGGAGGUCCGUAGCGAUUCUGACGUGCAAAUCGAUCGUCGGACCUGGGUAUAGGGGCGAAAGACUAAUCGAACCGUCUA
rnacentral:rRNA from 1 species